GACGAACGCUGGCGGCGUGCUUAACACAUGCAAGUCGAACGCUGAAGCUCAGCUUUUGUUGGGUGGAUGAGUGGCGAACGGGUGAGUAACACGUGGGUAACCUGCCCCCUUCUUUGGGAUAACGCCCGGAAACGGGUGCUAAUACUGGAUAUUCACUGGUCUUCGCAUGGGGGUUGGUGGAAAGGGUUUUUCUGGUGGGGGAUGGGCUCGCGGCCUAUCAGCUUGUUGGUGGGGUGAUGGCCUACCAAGGCUUUGACGGGUAGCCGGCCUGAGAGGGUGACCGGUCACAUUGGGACUGAGAUACGGCCCAGACUCCUACGGGAGGCAGCAGUGGGGAAUAUUGCACAAUGGGCGCAAGCCUGAUGCAGCGAUGCCGCGUGAGGGAUGGAGGCCUUCGGGUUGUGAACCUCUUUCGCUCAUGGUCAAGCCGCAACAAUGGUUGUGGUGAGGGUAGUGGGUAAAGAAGCGCCGGCUAACUACGUG
rnacentral:rRNA from 1 species